UUUAAAGUCUAGUCUGCCCAAUGAUUGUAAUAUUUAAUGGCUGCAGUAUUUUGACUGUACAAAGGUAGCAUGAUCAUUAGUUUUUUAAUUGAAAACUGGUAUGAAUGGCUGGAUGAAAAAAUGACUGUCUCAAUAUAAUUUAUUUUUGAAUUUUAUUUUUAAGUAAAAAAGCUUAAAUUUUUUAAAAAGACGAGAAGACCCUUUAGAGUUUUAUAUAUAAUUUAUAUAUUUUAAUUUAGUAUUUUGUUUUUAUGUUUAUGUAUAUUUUGUUGGGGUGACAUUAAAAUUUAAUUAACUUUUAUAAUUUUUUAUCAUUAAUUUAUGUUUAUUUGAUCCUAUAUUUUAGAUUAAAAGAAAAAAUUACCUUAGGGAUAACAGCGUAAUUUUUCUUCAGAGUUCAAAUCGAAAGAAGAGAUUGCGACCUCGAUGUUGGAUUAAAAUUUAUAUCUGGUGUAACAGUUAGAUAAUUAGGUCUGUUCGACCUUUAAAAUUUUACA
rnacentral:rRNA from 1 species